GCCCCUGUGAUGUAACGGUAGCUUGCCGUCUUGGUAUGGCGGACGCGCGGGUUCAACUCCCGCCGGGGGCU
rfam:Gemmata sp. SH-PL17, complete genome.